UGGCUCAGAUUGAACGCUGGCGGCAGGCCUAACACAUGCAAGUCGAGCGGAAACGAGAAGUAGCUUGCUACUUCGGCGUCGAGCGGCGGACGGGUGAGUAAUGCCUAGGAAGUUGCCCAGUAGAGGGGGAUAACCAUUGGAAACGAUGGCUAAUACCGCAUAAUSUCUUUGGAGCAAAGCAGGGGACCUUCGGGCCUUGUGCUAUWGGAUAMGCCUAGGUGGGAUUAGCUAGUUGGUGAGGUAAUGGCUCACCAAGGCGACGAUCCCUAGCUGGUCUGAGAGGAUGAUCAGCCACACUGGAACUGAGACACGGUCCAGACUCCUACGGGAGGCAGCAGUGGGGAAUAUUGCACAAUGGGSGAAAGCCUGAUGCAGCCAUGCCGCGUGUAUGAAGAAGGCCUUCGGGUUGUAAAGUACUUUCAGUMGUGAGGAAGGGGGUAAGUUUAAUACGMUUAUCUCUUGACGUUAGCUACAGAAGAAGCACCGGCUAACUCCGUGCCA
rnacentral:rRNA from 1 species